GAUGAACGCUAGCGGGAGGCCUAACACAUGCAAGUCGAACGGGAUUGGGAGCUUGCUCCCAUGAGAGGGCGCACGGGUGAGUAACGCGUAUGCAACCUACCUUUAACUGAGGGAUAGCCCAUAGAAAUGUGGAUUAAUACCUCAUAGUUCUUUUGGCCCGCAUGGGUCGAUAGAUAAAGCUCCGGCGGUUAAAGAUGGGCAUGCGUGACAUUAGCUAGUUGGUAAGGUAACGGCUUACCAAGGCUACGAUGUCUAGGGGUUCUGAGAGGAUGAUCCCCCACACUGGUACUGAGACACGGACCAGACUCCUACGGGAGGCAGCAGUGAGGAAUAUUGGUCAAUGGGCGCAAGCCUGAACCAGCCAUCCCGCGUGAAGGAUGAAGGCCCUAUGGGUCGUAAACUUCUUUUAUACACCAAGAAAAAUCCCCACGUGUGGGGACCCGACGGUAGUGUAUGAAUAAGCAUCGGCUAACUCCGUGCCAGCCGCCGCCGUAA
rnacentral:rRNA from 1 species